rnacentral:rRNA from 1 species
CUAGCGGCAGGCUUAAUACAUGCAAGUCGAGGGGCAGCAUGACUGUAGCAAUACAGUUGAUGGCGACCGGCAAACGGGUGCGGAACACGUACAGAACCUUCCUUCGAGCGGGGAAUAGCCCAGAGAAAUUUGGAUUAAUACCCCAUAGUAUAUUUGAAAGGCAUCUUUUAAAUAUUAAAGAUUUAUCACUUGAAGAUGGCUGUGCGGCUGAUUAGGUAGUUGGCGGGGUAACGGCCCACCAAGCCUGCGAUCAGUAACUGGUGUGAGAGCACGACCAGUCACACGGGCACUGAGACACGGGCCCGACUCCUACGGGAGGCAGCAGUAAGGAAUAUUGGUCAAUGGACGAAAGUCUGAACCAGCCAUGCCGCGUGGAGGAUGAAGGUCCUCUGGAUUGUAAACUUCUUUUAUAUGGGACGAAAAAAGGCUUUUCUAAGUCGUCUGACGGUACCAUAUGAAUAAGCACCGGCUAACUCCGUGCCAGCAGCCGCGGUAAUACGGAGGGUGCAAGCGUUAUCCGGAUUCACUGGGUUUAAAGGGUGCGUAGGUGGGUUGGUAAGUCAGUGGUGAAAUCCCCGAGCUCAACUUGGGAACUGCCAUUGAUACUAUCAGUCUUGAAUACCGUGGAGGUCAGCGGAAUAUGUCAUGUAGCGGUGAAAUGCUUAGAUAUGACAUAGAACA